rnacentral:rRNA from 1 species
GACGAACGCUGGCGGCGUGCUUAACACAUGCAAGUCGAACGGAAAGGCCUGCUUUCCCUUGUGGAUUGCGGGUACUCGAGUGGCGAACGGGUGAGUAACACGUGAGUGAUCUGCCCCCAACUUUGGUAUAAGCCUGGGAAACUGGGUCUAAUUCCCGAUAGGACUGCAGGGGGUUGCCGUUGGUGGAAAACGAUUUUUUAGUGGUUGGGGCUGAGCUCGCGGCCUAUCAGCUUGUUGGUGGGGUAAUGGCCUACCAAGGCGGCGACGGGUAGCCGGCCGGAGAGGGUGGACGGCCACAUUGGGACUGAGAUACGGCCCAGACUCCUACGGGAGGCAGCAGUGGGGAAUAUUGCACAAUGGGCGGAAGCCUGAUGCAGCGACGCCGCGUGGGGGAUGACGGCCUUCGGGUUGUAAACUCCUUUCGACCGCGAGGAAGCCACCUGGUUGGAAGGGUGGUGACGGUAGUGGUAGAAGAAGCACCGGCUAACUACGUG